GUCGGUAAAACUCGUGCCAGCCACCGCGGUUAUACGAAAGGCUCAAGUUGAUAAUCUUCGGCGUAAAGAGUGGUUAAAAGACAUCUUAAACUAAGGCUGAACCACCCCAAAGCUGUCAUACGCUACUGGGAGUGUGAAAUACAACCACGAAGGUGGCCUUAAAUAAUCUUGACCCCACGAAAGCUGUGAAACAAACUGGGAUUAGAUACCCCACUAUG
rnacentral:rRNA from 1 species